UGGCUCAAUUUGGAGAGGUCGUUCUCCAGUGGGGAAGAAGGAAUAACAAAAGGAGCAUUUUUGGAGCAUUUAUUAACAGUAUAGGCUAGGCUUUUUUUCUAUGUAUUUUAUAUGUGUCUAUUCAUUUAAUGCCCUUGAUAAUCCACUGAAAGAGGUGUCAUUAUUAUCAUCCCAUUUUACAGAAGAAGAAACUGAAACAAGAAGAUGAGCAUCUCAGCAUCUCAGAGGUGAAGAAACUGGCCUAGCCACCACGUGGUGGCACUUGCAGCCUGAGUCAGCAGAUCCCCAGGCAAAUGAAGACUCUGAGAUGAAGACAGCUGAGCGCAUGAUGGGGUAGGUCAGCCUCCCUCAUGGAAAUUCUGUGUGCCUGAGGCCCACCCUUCCAGUGCAGAUGGAGGGAUGGGAUGGAAAUGAAUCUAGGGGAACGCAUCCCAGCUGUGAUCCAGCCACCUCUGCGUUUGAAGGCUGGGGGUUAUUCCCUCCUCAUGGUUGCCACGCAUUCUUAUGUUUGCAUGUCAUGCUUGGAACUGCCGCAGCCACUUUGUGACAGCCUGAGAAUGAAUCCAGCGCUAAAAUCAGUCUAGCAAAAGGAGGAGAAACACCUGGGUCUCCAUGAUGUCACUGAGCAAGUGAAUUGACCAGCUGUGAGGUACUUCUGUGAUUCCUCCAUCUCACAGGACUGGUGUCCUUAUAAUGAAAGGAAGAGACACUGAGUUCUGUCUCCCAGCCUUGUGAGGACACGUUGAGAUGACUGCAAGCUGGGAAGAGAGCCUUCACCAGGAGCUGAAUUUGCUGGUAGUUUGAUCUUGAACCACAUUGAGAUGACUGCAAGCUGGGAAGAGAGCCUUCACCAGGAGCUGAAUUUGCUGGUACUUUGAUCUUGAACCUCCAGCCUCCAGAAUUGUGACAAAAUAAAUUUCUGUUGUUGAA
rnacentral:lncRNA from 1 species